rnacentral:rRNA from 1 species
AUUGCACGCUGGCGGCAGGCCUAAAACAUGCAAGUCGGCCGGAGCGGCGGACGGGUGAGUAAUGCCUAGGAAUCUGCCUGGGAGUGGGGGAUAACGUACGGUAACGGGCGCUAAUCACGCAUACAAUCCGAUGAGCCUAGGUCGGAUUAGCUAGUUGGGGGGGUAAAGGCCUACCAAGGCGACGAUCCGUAGCUGGUCUGAGAGGAUGAUCAGUCACACUGGACUUGAGACACGGUCCAGACUCCUACGGGAGGCAGCAGUGGGGAAUAUUGGACAAUGGGCGAAAGCCUGAUCCAGCCAUGCCGCGUGUGUGAAGAAGGUCUUCGGAUUGUAAAGCACUUUAAGUUGGGAGGCGUUACCAACAGAAUAAGCACCGGCUAACUUCGUGCCAGCAGCCGCGGUAAUUC